UACAUUGAAUAUUUUCCAUUUUUACAUCAUGUUCUGUUUCCGUUCCCUUUUUAGUGCUGAUUUCACUUAUACCAGUGGCCCAUGCUCAAGGGAGGCCUAAAGCUGUGGUGUCCAUAACGCCUGAUACACAUGUGUUCAUUGGAGAGACAGUUACUCUCAGAUGUGACGUACAGGGAGGAGGAGACUCUCAGUGGACAUACAACUGGUAUAAAAAUAAUAACAGACUCACAGACCGCACAGUGCAGUUCAAAAUCCGGUCUGUUGUAUACGGUCACCAUGGUGUCUACACCUGCAGAGGACAGAGCAGUGACUCUCAGAGCUCAGAGAUCAGUGAUGCUGUUACACUGACUGUAUCAGAAAAACCCAAACCGACUGUGAGAGUGAAUCCUCAGAGCUCCGUCUACACUGGAGACACCAUCACUCUGACCUGUGAGCUGCAGUCGACUGGAUGGGAGAUUCAAUGGUAUAAAAAUAAUCAGCAGUUACAGCCUUGGAGCACUGAACACAUAUACACACUCAAAGUGACAGACAAUAAUGAAGGAGAAACAGAGUACAAGUGUCACGCAUGCAGGAUAAACUACUAC